CACAUGAGUUAGGAAGGCUUCCUGGAGGAGUGUGGCCUGGCAAGGCCUUGAAGGAUGAUUUAGACAGCCUUGGUGGAUGAAGAAAGGAGGGGCUGUACAGUGGGUGUGUUUCUCAGGAUGUGAUGGGCCUGGAGAUGGGGACCUGGGUAGAGGGUGAGGUAGGAGGGGGAAGAUAGCUAGGUAAGGAGGAUGACUCCAGGUACUGUGCCUGGGCAAGCCCAGUCAGCCUUUUCCCAGAAGCUCCCUUUCCUCUUAUGCACCUACCCACCCUGCCCACCCAUCCGUUCAUCUGUCCAUCCACAUACACAUCCACCUAUCCAUCCAGCUAUCCAUCCAUCUACCCAUUCCCACAUAUCCAUCCAUUCAUCCAUCCAUCCAUCCAUCCAUCCAUCCAUCCAUCCACUCAUCCAAUUAUCUACCUAUUCACACAGCCAUCUGCCCAUCCAUCCAUCCAUUUACCUAUCUAUACACUUAUCUACCCCUCCAUUCAAGCUACUAAUAUCUGUUGAGCAUCCACUUAUGAGCCAAGGCCUGUACUAGAAUAUUCUCACUGACCUUUGGGCAUACAGGCCUGGCUCAUAGUAGGCUCAAUAAAUAUUUGUUUAAAUAUAUGGAGAAGUGGUAAUCAGAGGUGACCUAUCUCUAUCUUCAAGGAGCUUAUCAUCAUGCAGAACAAAACAUGUAAAAUUAUCAAUUGUGAUAAGUGUUAUGAAGGAAAAGACCUGGGUGCCAAGAGAAGCAAGGAGGAGGUAAAAACUAAGGGCUCUUACGUUGCUGUGUGAUCCUGGACAAGUAACUUGACCUUGCUAUGCCUCAGUUUCUGCAUCUAUAUAAUGGGAAUAAUGAUAGUACCUUAUAGGGAUGUCCAUUAAGUUUUUUGCAAUUAUCAAAAUCAGAAAGUUUUAAUAUUAACACAACUUUCUAGUCCACCAUGCACAUUUAGUUUCAGUUGUCCCAAUAAUGUCUUUUUCUUACUAACUUUAUUGAGAUAUAAUAACAUACCAUACAAUUUGCUCACUUAAAGUAUACAAUUCAAAGGUUUUAGUGCAUAGGUAUGUGCAACCAUCACCACUGUCAACUUUAGAAUAUUUUCACCACUCCAGAAAGAAAUCUUGCAUGCUUUAGCUACCACCCACUUUCUUCUCUCCACCCUCUCCCCUGCACCAGCCCUAGAAAGCCACCAAUAUGCUUCUCAUCUCUAUAGAUUGCCCUGUUCUGGAUAUUUUAUAUACAUGAAAUCCUACAAUAUAUGGUUUUUUGUUACUGUCUUAACAUAAUGUUUUCAAGGUUCACUUGUGUUAUAGUAUGUAUCAAUACUUCAUUCCUUUUUUUUUUUACCUUAAAAAAAACUUUUAGGAUUUUUAGAACAAUUUUAGGUUUCUAGCAAAAUUGAGUGGAAAGCACAAAGGGUUCCCAUAUACCACUUCCUCUCCCC
rnacentral:lncRNA from 1 species